UGCCUCUGUGGUGGGGAUUUUUAUUAAAGCUCUUGCUGAGGUGGAUUUAUAAUACUUUGUUCCGCGGAAAUCCUAAAUUGAGGGAAUGGGAGGCGGCGCAUCAACAGGAAGCGGCGCUCAAAUGGGAAACUGCAAGGACUCCCAAGACUGAGCUCUUUGCCCAGCAGGAUUAAAAUUGAGGCUGUCAAAGUCAUUUCACAGCUGUUAAAGGGAACUUCCAAUCCAUCAGCCUGGACUUGGUUCAAAGAAAGAUCCCAGAGGAAAAGGACAUUGAUGAUAAUUUGAUGUCUGAACAUGGAUGUCAGCACUCAGGAUAUACUGGAUGAAAUCAAGGUUUCUCAGGAGCAAGGUGACAGUGACAACCUGUUUUACUUGUAUGUGGCCACUCCCGGUGGAGCACCAAAAGACAUUCAUAAAAAAAUAAUAAAGCCUUUUCUGCAGGACCGUGGAUGGCAGAAGGUCAGCUACCCUAACACUGGAUUCAGGGCUUUGUACUUUUGCCGCAAGUCCGGGGGACAGGAGAGAGCUGACGCGGUGAGAGAUCGAUCAGAGCUGAAAGGCAAAUUGGAUGAAUAUAAGGAAAUUAAUCUUGUUGACUUCAAGGUGCACAUGGUGUUGUCUGUGCCAGUAAAUUACAAUGAAGAUUUUGUCGAACUGACCUCCCAACCUGGGUCAAUUGAAUGGUGAAAACAUAGGACCACUGACAGCUCAGAUUGUCUGUUUGCAAUGGAUCCUGAGAAAGAAUUAAAGCUUUAUCUGUUUCUGGCAACUCUUUGCACAGCGAAUGCUGCAGCAUUAAUUACUUUCACGAAUUGCUGCUGAAAAAAUGAGAAAAUAUAUAUGUACAAUACAUAACUUUUAGAUAUUUUUUAAAGUAGCUUCAGUGUAUCCAAUAUAAGGCAUGACUGCUUAUUUUAAUGAAAUGCAUAUUAGUAAGAAAGGGAAGUGUUGGUAAAUUUGUUUGAUUAUUUGUGGGAGCCCUUCGAAAAAUUCAGAGUUGGAAAUAUGUGAAAGAAUUAGACUUUGUUAACUGCUACAAGCACCAGAAUCAAAUGCUUAUCUAUAAUUAAAUGUUGAACUAUCUUCCAAAAUGGCCAAUAAUUAAUGAUAAUGCUUUAUAUUUGAACUUAAGGAUAUAAAGUACCAUCCAUAAGCAUGUGGGAAUGUCACUUUAAAUAUUUGCAGUAAGUUUAGGAUUCCUGAGAUAAAAUUGUCUUCCUCUUAACGACUAUGAUAUUGAUCAUCUUCUGUUAAUGAACAGUUAUAGGGAACUCAGUUUAUUCUGUUUGACUCCCUUUCUCUACCCAAGUUCCACCAAGUGUAAGGAUGGAAGAGCCUGGAUUUAUAGGUGAUCCCUCUGAGCAUUGUCCUGACUGAGCUGAUAGCCAGCAUGACCUGCAGACUGAAAUUGAUGGAAAGUUAUCUACCUACCUGGCAGCCUUUUGGAGGGCCGUCAUGUUCCGAGUUUUAUAUGGGGGUAUUUUCUAACUCAUUCGAUAUUCGUACAGUUGCAACCAUAAGGGGUGCGCAUUACAUUAAAUAUGAUAACCUGAUAAAAUCAAUUUAAAUUAUCCUGAACAAAUAUUAUUUUAAACACAUAGGACAAUAAAUGAACAAACUCUUGAAAUAUGAUUCCUUUUAAGGAAUGUGUUCUUAAACUGAUGGGAUUUUCUGAAUGUCACUGUUAUAUUCUUCAUGUGCAAUCCAAUCUUCUAAUUUGGUCAAACUGGAUUCUGAUAAAAAUGGUAUAUAUCAAAAUGGUUUAAAUAUAACUUGCUAUUGCUUAAAAGAAAUAAAAUUUAGAUAUUUAAAUGAUUUAUGUGUCUGCCUUCCAUAUUUUGUAAUACUGCUGGAGCUUAAAUUGUUUCCUCCCUGUAACGGUAGUCAUGGCCAAGUGGUUAAAGCGGUGGACUAGAAAACGAUUGGGGGUUUCCCUACACAAGUUCAUGUCCUGCUGAUGACAGAAGCAGCAGGUUCACCACAGUAACUAUUGAGUGUCCCCAACAUGUAUACAGUUAACAUUAAACCUCUUUGGGGUGGCAUGGUAGUGUAACAGUUAGCAUAAUACUGUUGCCGUGCCUGCGAUCUGAGUUCAAUUCCUGUCACUGUCUGUCAGGAGUUUCUACGUUCUCCCCGUGGCCACGCGAGUUUCCUCCGGGUGCUCCAGUUUCCUCCUACAUUCCAAAGAUGUGUGGGUUAGUAAAUUAAUUGGUCACAUGCUUGUAAUCAGGCAGCACGAGUUUGUGAGUCGCAAGGGCCUAUUUACCAUGCUGUA